ACAUAAUUCUAUUUCUUUCUUUUAAUGUUUGUGGAGUGUAUUAAAGCUGUCUUCCAUGUCUGUCAUAUCUUGAGCUAGAACAGGCUGUGCAAGGGGAUUAAUAGUAUGCAAUUAAGUUUCAAGUUUGAUCCAAUGGCUUUUUAGUAGUUUCUGUCACUUAUGAGGGAGAGAGGAGUUUGGAGAAUCGUCAAUGGAAGAAUAUGAAACUUCAAGUCAUUGGUUUCCUGUGUUUUAGGGCCCCCACAGGGGAGGGAGGGUUCGUUACUCAACAAUGCAAAGGAGGGAGGGCACAUUGACACCUAGUGAAAACUGAGAGUGGUUCAUAAUGUAUCUCGAUAUCGCUUUGGUGAUGUUGUUAGGGAGGGAGGGUUUGUUACUUAUUUCAACGAUGCAAAGUGAGUGGAGCUUUGAGGAAGCUUCACGUGCACGUUGAUAUCCGGUGAAAGAUGAUCCUUUCAACAGUGGUUCAUAAU